rnacentral:rRNA from 1 species
UACGUAGGGUGCAAGCGUUAUCCGGAAUUAUUGGGCGUAAAGAGCUCGUAGGCGGUUUGUCGCGUCUGCUGUGAAAUUUCGGGGCUCAACCCCGAACUUGCAGUGGGUACGGGCAGACUAGAGUGUGGUAGGGGAGACUGGAAUUCCUGGUGUAGCGGUGAAAUGCGCAGAUAUCAGGAGGAACACCGAUGGCGAAGGCAGGUCUCUGGGCCACUACUGACGCUGAGAAGCGAAAGCAUGGGGAGCGAACAGG